AGAAUGAAACGAUCGACUUGGAGUUACCGAAAAACGUAAUAAUUCAUCCAUGGUUGCCACAGUCAGACAUACUGGCACAUCCGAGAAUCAAAGCCUUCAUCCCACAUUCCGGUUUAUUAAGUACACAUGAAGCGAUUUACAAAGGAGUUCCAACCAUCGGAAUCCCAUUUAGCAGCGAAAGGAAAAGAAAUUUAUUGAAAUGCAUUCGAUUGGGGUUCGCUGAAGAGCUAAACUUUCAAACAAUGACUACAGAAAUUGUCAAGGAAAAGCUAAAACAAGUUCUAAAGAAUUCAAAAUAUUCUGAAAAUGCAAAAAAAAGUGUCGCAGCAGUUCAAAGAUCAGAAGGAAUUGCCACUUGAACGUGCCAUCUGGUGGAUUGAAUGGCUCAAAACAUUUAAAGUCACCAAAUCUUUCAAUCGACUAUGUCGUGGGGAAUGCGUAUGAUGUUAUUGCGAUCAUUUCUAUCGCUUCGUU